rnacentral:rRNA from 1 species
GUUUUUUAAGUCUGAUGUGAAAGCCCUCGGCUUAACCGAGGAAGUGCAUCGGAAACUGGGAAACUUGAGUGCAGAAGAGGACAGUGGAACUCCAUGUGUAGCGGUGAAAUGCGUAGAUAUAUGGAAGAACACCAGUGGCGAAGGCGGCUGUCUGGUCUGUAACUGACGCUGAGGCUCGAAAGCAUGGGUAGCGAACAGGAUUAGAUACCCUGGUAGUCCAUGCCGUAAACGAUGAAUGCUAGGUGUUGGAGGGUUUCCGCCCUUCAGUGCCGCAGCUAACGCAUUAAGCAUUCCGCCUGGGGAGUACGACCGCAAGGUUGAAACUCAAAGGAAUUGACGGGGGCCCGCACAAGCGGUGGAGCAUGUGGUUUAAUUCGAAGCAACGCGAAGAACCUUACCAGGUCUUGACAUCUUUUGAUCACCUGAGAGAUCAGGUUUCCCCUUCGGGGGCAAAAUGACAGGUGGUGCAUGGUUGUCGUCAGCUCGUGUCGUGAGAUGUUGGGUUAAGUCCCGCAACGAGCGCAACCCUUAUGACUAGUUGCCAGCAUUUAGUUGGGCACUCUAGUAAGACUGCCGGUGACAAACCGGAGGAAGGUGGGGAUGACGUCAAAUCAUCAUGCCCCUUAUGACCUGGGCUACACACGUGCUACAAUGGAUGGUACAACGAGUUGCGAGACCGCGAGGUCAAGCUAAUCUCUUAAAGCCAUUCUCAGUUCGGACUGUAGGCUGCAACUCGCCUACACGAAGUCGGAAUCGCUAGUAAUCGCGGAUCAGCACGCCGCGGUGAAUACGUUCCCGGGCCUUGUACACACCGCCCGUCACACCAUGAGAGUUUGUAACACCCGAAGCCGGUGGCGUAACCCUUUUAGGGAGCGAGCCGUCUAAGGUGGGACAAAUGAUUAGG